rnacentral:rRNA from 1 species
AUGCCUACGGGACGCAGCAGUAGGGAAUCUUCCACAAUGGGCGAAAGCCUGAUGGAGCAUCGCCGCGUGGGUGAAGAAGGUCUGCGGAUCGUAAAACGCUGUUGUUAGAGAAGAAAGUGCGUGAGAGUAACUGUUCACGUUUCGACGGUAUCUAACCAGAAAGCCACGGCUAACUACGUGCCAGCAGCCGCGGUAAUACGUAGGUGGCAAGCGUUAUCCGGAUUUAUUGGGCGUAAAGGGAACGCAGGCGGUCUUUUAAGUCUGAUGUGUAAGCCUUCG